AACGCUAGCUACAGGCUUAACACAUGCAAGUCGAGGGGCAGCAUGAACUUAGCUUGCUAAGUUUGAUGGCGACCGGCGCACGGGUGAGUAACGCGUAUCCAACCUUCCGUACACUCAGGGAUAGCCUUUCGAAAGAAAGAUUAAUACCUGAUGGUAUGAUGAGAUUGCAUGGUAACAUCAUUAAAGAUUUAUCGGUGUACGAUGGGGAUGCGUUCCAUUAGAUAGUAGGCGGGGUAACGGCCCACCUAGUCGACGAUGGAUAGGGGUUCUGAGAGGAAGGUCCCCCACAUUGGAACUGAGACACGGUCCAAACUCCUACGGGAGGCAGCAGUGAGGAAUAUUGGUCAAUGGGCGCGAGCCUGAACCAGCCAAGUAGCGUGAAGGAUGAAGGUCCUACGGAUUGUAAACUUCUUUUAUAAGGGAAUAAAGUCACCUACGUGUAGGUGUUUGUAUGUACCUUAUGAAUAAGCAUCGGCUAACUCCGUGCCAGCAGCCGCGGUAAUACGGAGGAUGCGAGCGUUAUCCGGAUUUAUUGGGUUUAAAGGGAGCGUAGACGGGUCGUUAAGUCAGCUGUGAAAAUUUGAGGCUCAACCUUAAAAUUGCAGUUGAUACUGGCGUCCUUGAGUACGGUUGAGGCAGGCGGAAUUCGUGGUGUAGCGGUGAAAUGCAUAGAUAUCACGAAGAACUCCGAUUG
rnacentral:rRNA from 1 species